GAUGAACGCUGGCGGCGUGCCUAAUACAUGCCAGUCGAGCGAACAGACGAGGAGCUUGCUCCUCUGACGUUAGCGGCGGACGGGUGAGUAACACGUGGAUAACCUACCUAUAAGACUGGGAUAACUUCGGGAAACCGGAGCUAAUACCGGAUAACAUGUUGAACCGCAUGGUUCAACAGUGAAAGACGGUCUUGCUGUCACUUAUAGAUGGAUCCGCGCCGCAUUAGCUAGUUGGUAAGGUAACGGCUUACCAAGGCAACGAUGCGUAGCCGACCUGAGAGGGUGAUCGGCCACACUGGAACUGAGACACGGUCCAGACUCCUACGGGAGGCAGCAGUAGGGAAUCUUCCGCAAUGGGCGAAAGCCUGACGGAGCAACGCCGCGUGAGUGAAGAAGGUCCUCGGAUCGUAAAACUCUGUUAUUAGGGAAGAACAAAUGUGUAAGUAACUAUGCACGUCUUGACGGUACCUAAUCAGAAAGCCACGGCUAACUACGUG
rnacentral:rRNA from 1 species